ACUAAGCGUACACGGUGGAUGCCCUGGCAGUCAGAGGCGAUGAAGGACGUGCUAAUCUGCGAUAAGCGUCGGUGAGGUGAUAUGAACCGUUAUAACCGGCGAUUUCCGAAUGGGGAAACCCAGUGUGUUUCGACACACUAUCAUUAACUGAAUCCAUAGGUUAAUGAGGCGAACCGGGGGAACUGAAACAUCUAAGUACCCCGAGGAAAAGAAAUCAACCGAGAUUCCCCCAGUAGCGGCGAGCGAACGGGGAGGAGCCCAGAGCCUGAAUCAGUGUGUGUGUUAGUGGAAGCGUCUGGAAAGGCGCGCGAUACAGGGUGACAGCCCCGUACACAAAAAUGCACAUAUUGUGAGCUCGAUGAGUAGGGCGGGACACGUGGUAUCCUGUCUGAAUAUGGGGGGACCAUCCUCCAAGGCUAAAUACUCCUGACUGACCGAUAGUGAACCAGUACCGUGAGGGAAAGGCGAAAAGAACCCCGGCGAGGGGAGUGAAAAAGAACCUGAAACCGUGUACGUACAAGCAGUGGGAGCCUCUUAAUGGGGUGACUGCGUACCUUUUGUAUAAUGGGUCAGCGACUUAUAUUCUGUAGCAAGGUUAACCGAAUAGGGGAGCCGAAGGGAAACCGAGUCUUAACUGGGCGUUAAGUUGCAGGGUAUAGACCCGAAACCCGGUGAUCUAGCCAUGGGCAGGUUGAAGGUUGGGUAACACUAACUGGAGGACCGAACCGACUAAUGUUGAAAAAUUAGCGGAUGACUUGUGGCUGGGGGUGAAAGGCCAAUCAAACCGGGAGAUAGCUGGUUCUCCCCGAAAGCUAUUUAGGUAGCGCCUCGUGAAUUCAUCUCCGGGGGUAGAGCACUGUUUCGGCAAGGGGGUCAUCCCGACUUACCAACCCGAUGCAAACUGCGAAUACCGGAGAAUGUUAUCACGGGAGACACACGGCGGGUGCUAACGUCCGUCGUGAAGAGGGAAACAACCCAGACCGCCAGCUAAGGUCCCAAAGUCAUGGUUAAGUGGGAAACGAUGUGGGAAGGCCCAGACAGCCAGGAUGUUGGCUUAGAAGCAGCCAUCAUUUAAAGAAAGCGUAAUAGCUCACUGGUCGAGUCGGCCUGCGCGGAAGAUGUAACGGGGCUAAACCAUGCACCGAAGCUGCGGCAGCGACACUAUGUGUUGUUGGGUAGGGGAGCGUUCUGUAAGCCUGUGAAGGUGGCCUGUGAGGGUUGCUGGAGGUAUCAGAAGUGCGAAUGCUGACAUAAGUAACGAUAAAGCGGGUGAAAAGCCCGCUCGCCGGAAGACCAAGGGUUCCUGUCCAACGUUAAUCGGGGCAGGGUGAGUCGACCCCUAAGGCGAGGCCGAAAGGCGUAGUCGAUGGGAAACAGGUUAAUAUUCCUGUACUUGGUGUUACUGCGAAGGGGGGACGGAGAAGGCUAUGUUGGCCGGGCGACGGUUGUCCCGGUUUAAGCGUGUAGGCUGGUUUUCCAGGCAAAUCCGGAAAACCAAGGCUGAGGCGUGAUGACGAGGCACUACGGUGCUGAAGCGACAAAUGCCCUGCUUCCAGGAAAAGCCUCUAAGCAUCAGGUAACAUCAAAUCGUACCCCAAACCGACACAGGUGGUCAGGUAGAGAAUACCAAGGCGCUUGAGAGAACUCGGGUGAAGGAACUAGGCAAAAUGGUGCCGUAACUUCGGGAGAAGGCACGCUGAUAUGUAGGUGAAGCGACUUGCUCGUGGAGCUGAAAUCAGUCGAAGAUACCAGCUGGCUGCAACUGUUUAUUAAAAACACAGCACUGUGCAAACACGAAAGUGGACGUAUACGGUGUGACGCCUGCCCGGUGCCGGAAGGUUAAUUGAUGGGGUUAGCGGCAACGCGAAGCUCUUGAUCGAAGCCCCGGUAAACGGCGGCCGUAACUAUAACGGUCCUAAGGUAGCGAAAUUCCUUGUCGGGUAAGUUCCGACCUGCACGAAUGGCGUAAUGAUGGCCAGGCUGUCUCCACCCGAGACUCAGUGAAAUUGAACUCGCUGUGAAGAUGCAGUGUACCCGCGGCAAGACGGAAAGACCCCGUGAACCUUUACUAUAGCUUGACACUGAACAUUGAGCCUUGAUGUGUAGGAUAGGUGGGAGGCUUUGAAGUGUGGACGCCAGUCUGCAUGGAGCCGGCCUUGAAAUACCACCCUUUAAUGUUUGAUGUUCUAACGUGGGCCCCUUACCGGGGUUGCGGACAGUGUCUGGUGGGUAGUUUGACUGGGGCGGUCUCCUCCUAAAGAGUAACGGAGGAGCACGAAGGUUGGCUAAUCCUGGUCGGACAUCAGGAGGUUAGUGCAAUGGCAUAAGCCAGCUUGACUGCGAGCGUGACGGCGCGAGCAGGUGCGAAAGCAGGUCAUAGUGAUCCGGUGGUUCUGAAUGGAAGGGCCAUCGCUCAACGGAUAAAAGGUACUCCGGGGAUAACAGGCUGAUACCGCCCAAGAGUUCAUAUCGACGGCGGUGUUUGGCACCUCGAUGUCGGCUCAUCACAUCCUGGGGCUGAAGUAGGUCCCAAGGGUAUGGCUGUUCGCCAUUUAAAGUGGUACGCGAGCUGGGUUUAGAACGUCGUGAGACAGUUCGGUCCCUAUCUGCCGUGGGCGCUGGAGAACUGAGGGGGGCUGCUCCUAGUACGAGAGGACCGGAGUGGACGCAUCACUGGUGUUCGGGUUGUCAUGCCAAUGGCACUGCCCGGUAGCUAAAUGCGGAAGAGAUAAGUGCUGAAAGCAUCUAAGCACGAAACUUGCCCCGAGAUGAGUUCUCCCUGACCCUUUAAGGGUCCUGAAGGAACGUUGAAGGCGACGACGUUGAUAGGCCGGGUGUGUAAGCGCAGCGAUGCGUUGAGCUAACCGGUACUAAUGAACCGUGAGGCUUAACC
rnacentral:rRNA from 1 species